UACAGAGGUCUCAAGCGUUGUUCGGAUUCAUUGGGCGUAAAGGGUGCGUAGGUGGCGUGGUAAGUCGGGUGUGAAAUUUCGGAGCUUAACUCCGAAACUGCAUUCGAUACUGCUGUGCUUGAGGACUGGAGAGGAGACUGGAAUUUACGGUGUAGCAGUGAAAUGCGUAGAGAUCGUAAGGAAGACCAGUGGCGAAGGCGGGUCUCUGGACAGUUCCUGACACUGAGGCACGAAGGCCGGGGGAGCAAACGGG
rnacentral:rRNA from 1 species